CCAAGUGCAAUAUUCAAACCACAAGCCCUGGCCACCUUACAGACCAGCUCAUUCGUUCCAUGUUUAAUGGAUGAAGUUACCAAGAUUCAGGCAAGGAGGGGAACUCAUGAAAUUCAUACCCAAGUUAGAAGUGUCCACAAUGGAACUGAAGUCUCCAGACCACAGGAGAAAAAGGCCUGCCACGACUGUCUGGAGAAGGUCAUAUCAUCUGGCUCGACAGUAAGGCUGCACGCAUGGAAGUUAGACCUUGAACUCAAAAAGACUUGCUUGCAUUCAAGACCUACAUCUACCCCAGCUCGGAAGAACACGGAUGACACAACAGUUGCAUUCCAGGACAAAUGUCCAUUCAAGAAACAUUCCUACUAUGCCAGAUUCUGAAUAUGCAAACAUAAAGAAGACAAAAUUCUGUGUCCUCCAAGACAAACUAACUGGGAAGAGAGACAUGUACAUUACUCACGAUUGCUGAGCCUGGGACACAGAGGUGUAGCCAAGUUACAGUGAGAGCGCAGAGGACAGUACCUACCCAGGGUUGGGGGAGGCAGGGGUGAAGGCACCAGAGGAGGGAGCAUUUGGCUAGAGGCUUCAAAAUGAGAAGGGACAUUUACAUGCCUAAUAACAGACCACCAAGACAUGUGAGGCAAAAACUGAUUGAACUGAAGGGAGAAAGAGACAACUCUACAAUAACUGUUGGAGACUUCACUACUGUACUCUCAAUAAUGGAUAGAAUGACCAAAUGGAAGAUAAGUAAGGAACUAGAGGACUGGGACAACUGCAUAAACCGACUAGAUCCAACAGACAUAACUCAGAACAUUCUUCUUGAGUGCAUGUGGGUCAUUGUCCAGCACAGACCAUAUGUUAGGCCACGAAUCAUGUCUCAGUAGCCAAAACGUGGAACCAACCUAGUGUCCAUCAACAGAUGAAUGGAUAAACAAAAUGUGAUACAUACAUACAAUGGAAUACAAUUCAGCCUUUAAAAAGGAAGGAAAUUCUGACGCAUGCCACAGCAUGGAUGAAUCUUGAAGACAUUAUGCUAAGAGCAAUAUCAGUCGCAAAAGGACAAACACUGCAUGAUUCCGCCCCUAUGAGUUACCUAAAGCAGUCAAAUUCAUAGAGACAGAAAGUAGAACAGCAGUUGCCAGGGGCUGGGGGAAGGAAUGGGGAGUUAUUAAGUGAUGUGGCUUCCCUGGUGACUCAGACAGGAAUGAAUCUGCCCGCAUAUGGGAGACCCAGGUUUGAUGUCUGGGUCGGAAAGAUCCCCUGGAGAAGGAAAUGGCAACCCACUCCAGUAUUCUUGCCUGGAGAAUUUCAUGGACAGAGGAGCCUGGCAGGCUGCAGUCCAUAGGGUCACAGAGAGUCAGACACAACCAAAGAGAUUUAGCACGCAGACAGUUUCAGUCCUAGAGAUGGAUGGUGAUGAUGUCUGCACAACCAUGUGAAUAUUCUGAAUGCCACUGAACUGUACCCUAUAAAAAAGUGGUUAAAAUGUUAAAUUUUAUGUUUUAUAUAUUUUACCCAAUUUCAAAGAUAAAUUAUAGUGGGGAAAAAAUGAAUGAAGAAGGAGUGUUCUAAGCAGUCCAGGUGGGAGAGAAAAGUCUAGACAGAAGAAACAUCUUGUGCUGAAGCACAGCUGUAUGAGAGCAACUGGGGUUCUCUGGAUGCAGCAAAAGUGUCCCCAGCAUGCGCGACACACAGACGUAGCCUUGGUGGGCUGAAUUCCCGAAAGGGAGUUGGCGUGCCACUCCAUGGGCUCUAGGGAAGACAGGGCUCCAGUGUGUCUUAGAGCAAUCAGACUGGGAGGAGCCUGGGAAGGGCAGACGGCACCACCUCUAGAGAGAGAUUAAAAGAGAAACUGCUUUCCAGACAGUCCCAGCUCCCCAGGCUUGUGGUCACCCUCUGUGGUCACCAGAGAUCAGCACUGCGGCAAGAAUGACUCAAGACAUUCGCCUCCCGAGGCUGCAAGCUGAAGGCCUGAGGGAUUCCCCUGAAAAACAAAAGAGGGAGGCUUUGGUGGGGACCCUGUGUGGAAAACUCCUCUCUGCCAUGUCGUUCUCCCUGUGAGUGUGCAGUCUGUUUGGGUAGCAGCUGAGUGAGGACAGGGAGCUCAUCUUCCUGCAGGCUCACUCUGUGGCUUUCACCAUCAAAGGAAGGCAAGAUUCACAACUCAAAGGUAAAUUUGGGGAUUGGGAGUGGGAGGAGGGCCUCUAUAAAAUUUCUGAAUCAAGUGAAUUUGGGAAAUCCCAACUCUGCAACUUAAUAAACAGUGACUUGAACAGCCCUGUGUCUCUAUA
rnacentral:lncRNA from 1 species